UUUAAAAAAAAAAAAAACAAAACCCCCCAUUCUUGUGAAUCCCGUUCCCGUGAAUCGACUGCUUGAGUAUGAGCGGUGGCUUUGGUGUGCGGGUCUGGGCUACAAUGGAGAAAGAGGUGGCGGGUUUAGGCUGGAGAGAGAGGGAGAAGUUGCGGUGCUGCUAGGCGGUUUUGCGGGUUGCGAAGGAGAGGGAGAGGGUUCUGGUUGUGGAUUGUUUCACUUAUUUGCGAAGGAGAGUAGGGGUUGCGGGCUGUGGUUUGCUUGCGAUGCUGCGGGCUGUGGGUUGCUUGCGAUGCUGCUGGCUGUUUGGUUGCGGCAUGGUGGUGGAAAGGGGGAGGUUGGAGUUGUGUGGUGUUGAGAUAAGGUGGGGUUGUGACUAUGUGAGGUAGGUGCGUGGUGGCUGGGCGGUUUUGAUGGUUGUUGAAUUGGUGGGUGUUUGGCUAGUAGGCUGCGAAGUUGCAGUCGGAUUUUGGAGGGGAAGGUGGUGCUGCCGGUGCUUGGUGGGGAGGAUUUUUUUUUUGUUUUUUUUUUUUUAAUUAAAUUUUUUAAUUUUUUUGAUUAAAUUUUUUAAUAUUAAUUUAUUUCCUAAAAAGAAAUAUGUUAAAAUUAAAAUAAAAAAAUCUACCUAAUCAUAGGAUAACACGUGUCCAUCUUUAACCUACUUAACAAGUUACCGGUUUUUUUUAUCAUAUUCUUAGAAGAUCAUGUGCAAAAGUCGUUUUAUUGGGGGAUUAUCAAAAGGUGGUUUUAUUUAUGGCAGAUCGAACAAAGGUUAUAAUAUUCAUGUCAAUUUUUCCAUUUUAAUAUUUGUUAUGCAUUACUAUUUUUUUUUUUUUUUUUUGAUAAAAUUACUACUUUCCUGGAUUAACUCAUACUUGUUUAAAUUUUCUAUACUCAUCAUAGUCCGGCCCAUGAAAACGUUCAAAAUUCAAAGAGACAAAGACCAUCCAGUUCUCCGUUAAAACGUUCAAAAUUGUGGCGGGGGGCUCGGCCGGCUCGCAAGUCGUCAUCGCUGAAAAAAAUGCCUAGAGUGUUCUAUUCCAUGCUCCUAUAUCAGUGAGUCGGAAGAUGAUUGCACUUCCAAUAACCUGAAUUGUUGUAUUACCUUCAAAAAAAGGUAUAUCAAUGUUAGGAAUGCAAUUGUACAAUUUGUACCAAAAAAAGGUGAACUUGCUGGUUUCAAGUGACAGCAGCUCAGUUAUCUAAGAUGAUCAGACAUCUCUUUCAUCCCUUUAGUUUGGGAGGCUGCUAUAUAAUGUAUGCAGCUCCACUAAAUCACUAAUACUCCUAUAAUUGCGCCUUAAUUUAGUAUUGAAAAUAUUUAAGUUUUAAAUAUAUAAAUCACUAGAGUAUGAUAAUUGGCUCUUUUAUAACACUUAGGGGGGCGUUUGGUUUGCAGAGUGGUAUAGGUUUGGAAUCAGGAAUAGGGUUGAGGUGGUAUCGGGUUAGAACUUGAUACUUAAUACCAUGUGAUUGGUUCAUUUCAUAUUUGAUACCUAAGGGAAUGGAAUGAGCCAAACCCACCUUCCCCUCAAGGUUUCUAAUCCCCAUACCUCAUGGGUUUGAGGUAUGAGUUUAAAAAUCAUAUUUUUAACAACCAAAUAUAUGGUAUGGGUUUUGGUCAUUCUAAACCCAUACCUAAUACCUAUAAUCCGCGAACUAAACGCUCCCUUAGUGUUAUUUUAUUUACUCUGUAAUAAAAGCUCAUAGUGGGGAAUCGAACUUGAGACUUCUCUCUCAUCAA